AGUUCAGAGGUAGAACGCUUCCUUGACACGGAAGAGGUCAGAGGUUCAAUUCCUCUA
rnacentral:tRNA from 1 species